ACGACUCUCGAAAGCGGAUAUCUCGGCUCUCGCAUCGAUUAAGAACGUAGCGAAAAGCGAUACUUGGUGUGAAUUGCAGAAUCUCGUGAACCAUCGAGUCUUUGAACGCAAGUUGCGCCCCAAGCCAUUAGGCUGAGGGCACGUCUGCCUGGGUGUCACGCAUUGUCGCCCCCAUCCAACCAUGAGCCCUCGAGCCUCCAUUGGACUGAGGGCAGAAAUUGGCCUCCCGUGCACUCACAGCCAGCGGUUGGCCUAAAUUCGAGUCCUUGACGACAUCAUCAUCGCGACGCUCGGUGGGUAAUGCUAUAAACAACCUCGUUCGGUGUCAUGCACAUUGGUCGAUCAGAAUCUUGAACCCUAUCGGCAUCGUAAGGACGGUGCUCGCAUCGCGACCCCAUGUCAGGCGGGAUUACCCGUUGAGUUUAAGCAUAUCAAUAAGCGGAGGAAAAGAAACUUACCACGAUUCCCCUAGUAAUGGCGAGUGAACCGGGAAAAGCCCAGCAUGAGAAUCGGUCGCCAUCGGCGUUUGAAUUGUAGUCUGGAAAAGCGUCCUCAGCGACGGACGGGGCCCAAGUCCCUUGGAAAGGGGCGCCGGAGAGGGUGAGAGCCCCGUCGUGCCCGGACCCUGUCGUACCACGAGGCACUGUCUACGAGUCGGGUUGUUUAUGAAUGCAGCCCUAAUCGGGCGAUAAAUUCUAUCCAAGGCUAAAUACGGGUGAGAGACCGAUAGCGAACAAGUACCGUGAGGGAAAAAUGAAAAGGAUUUUGUAAAGAGAGUCAAAGAGUGCUUGAAAUUUUCGGGAGGGAAGCGAAUGGGGGUCGGCAAUGCGCCCCAGUCGGAUGUGGAACGGCGAGAGGUGGUCCACCGAUCGGCUCGAGGCAUGGACUGACGCGGGUUGUGGUGGAGGCCCAAGCCCGGGCCUUUGAUAUGCCCGGGGACAUCGUCACCUCGAUCGUGGGAUUCAGCACACGCCAUCUCGACGUAGUUCGGCACUUGUGUGCUUCGAGCGUUGGCCUGCAGGCUCCCCAUUCGGCCCGUCUUGAAACACAGACCAAGGAGUCUGACAUGUGUGCGAGUCAACGGGCUAGAAAACCCGUAAGGCACAAGGAAGCUGAUUGGUGGGAUCCUUAGCGGGUACACCACCGACCGACCUUGUUCUUCUGAGAAAGGUUCGAGUGAGAGCAUGCCUGUAGAGACCCGAAAGAUAGUGAACUAUGCCUGAGCGGAGCAAAGCCAAAGGAAACUCUGGUGGAGGCCCAUAGCGAUACUGACGUGCAAAUCGUUCGUCUGACUUGGGUAUAUGGCCGAAAGACUAAUUGAACCGUCUAGUAGCUGGUUCCUUCCGAAGUUUCCCUCAGGAUAGCUGGAGCCCUUAGCGAGUUCUAUCGGGUAAAGCCAAUGAUUAGAGGCAUCGGAGGCACAACGCCCUCGACCUAUUCUCAAACUUUAAAUAGGUAGGACGGUGCGGCUGCUUCGCUGAGCCGCGCCACAGAAUCGAGAGCUCCAAGUGGGCCAUUUUUGGUAUGCAGAGCUGGCGAUGUGGGAUGAACCGAAAGCCGGGUUACGGUGCCCAACUACCCGCUAACCUAGAAUUGAAAAAGGGUGUUGGUUGAUUAAGACAGCAGGACAGUGGUCAUGGAAGUCAAAAUCCGCUAAGGUGUGUGUAACAACUCACCUGCCGAAUCAACUAGCCUCGAAAAUGGAUGGCGCUUAAGUGCGCGACCUAUACCCAGCCGUCUGGGCAAGGUAUAGAAGAACGUAAUUACUCUUAUGCACAAUACAACAUGCUAUAUAUCCUUCCAAAGUUUUGAAGAACAAAAUUCUGCUCUUGUUACUUUAAUUCUUGAAGAUAUGGUUUGUGGUGGGAGAAUCGUAGAAGAAAACAAUGGAAUCAACUUCGAAGAAGGUAACUUUGAGCAGCUCCGACGGGUGGACUUUCGAGGUGGAGGAAGCGGUUGCAUUCCAGUCUCAGACGAUCAAACACUUGUACGAAACAGGUUGCAUCGGUGACUUCAUCCCUGUCCCUAACGUCACUGGUGACAUCUUAUCCAUGGUUCUCUGAUACUGCGAGAAGCACGUAGAUUCGGAUACCAUCGCUGGCAAGGAAAGCUUCUACGAUAACAAACUCAAGCGCUGGGAUGCUCUUUUUUUCAAGGUUGACCAAAGCACCCUCUUCGACCUCAUCUUGGCGGCCAACUUUAUGAAUAUAAAUAGCUUGAUGGACUUGACAUGCAAAACUGUUGCCAACAUGAUGAAGGGGAAGACAACUAAGGAGAUUCGUGGUACCUUCAACAUCAAGAACGAUUACACCCCCGAGGCAGAAGAGAUGGUUAGGAGGGAGAACCAAUGGGCAUUCGAAUGAUUCAUAUCCAUACCCAUUGACACCUGGGCACUCGAAUGUGCGGGAGCGUCAGACACCAUCAGCAAACUAGGCCCUUGGUCGUGCGGGAGCCUCGGGCACCAUCGGCACCUUGGUGCUUGGAUGUGCGGGAGCCUCAGACAAUGUUGGCAUCCUAGGCUCUUGGUCGUGCGAGAGCCUCGGGCACCAUCGGCACCUAGGGGCUCGGAUGUCCAGGAGGCUCGGACACCAUCGGCAAACUAAGCACUUGGUCACGCGGGAGCCUUGGGCACCAUCGGCACCUCGGUACUCAGAUGUGCAGGAGCCUCGGGCAACAUCAGCAGAAUAGGCCCUUCGUCGUGUGAGAGCCUCGGGCACUAUCGGCACCUUGGUGGCUCAAAUGUGCGGGAGCCUCGAGCAGCACGGGCACCUUGGUGGCUCGGACGUGCGGGAGCCUCGGACACCAUCCGCAACCUUAGUGCUUGGAUGUGCCGGAGCCUUGAACACCAUUGGCACCUUAGUGCUUGGGAUGUGCGGGCUAAAGAAAAGCUUCCCCAUUUCAAACAGUCGAAUGUUUCCUGGUAGCACAUUGACGAAGUUUUUUUAGCUCUUUAAGGGGUAGAGAUCCGCUGCCCCCCGACGUAGCCC
rnacentral:rRNA from 1 species